rfam:Ovis aries breed Texel chromosome 5, whole genome shotgun sequence.
UCCCCGGUGGCUCAGAUGAUAAAGAAUCCGCCUGCAAUGCGGGAGACCUGGGUUCGAUCCCUGGUUUGGGAA